rnacentral:tRNA from 1 species
GCUAUUUCAGGACGGCGAUCCUGGUCGGCCGCUCAUCGUCGGACGGAUCGUCGAGCCGGCACGUCGCGGUUCGACACCGCAAACGGUUC